AACGAACGCUGGCGGCAGGCUUAACACAUGCAAGUCGAACGGGCACCUUCGGGUGUCAGUGGCAGACGGGUGAGUAACGCGUGGGAACGUACCCUUCGGUUCGGAAUAACCCAGGGAAACUUGGGCUAACACCGGAUACGUCCGCAAGGAGAAAGAUUUAUCGCCGAAGGAUCGGCCCGCGUCGGAUUAGCUAGUUGGUGGGGUAAUGGCCCACCAAGGCGACGAUCCGUAGCUGGUCUGAGAGGAUGANCAGCCACACUGGGACUGAGACACGGCCCAGACUCCUACGGGAGGCAGCAGUGGGGAAUAUUGGACAAUGGGCGAAAGCCUGAUCCAGCCAUGCCGCGUGAGUGAAGAAGGCCUUAAGGGUUGUAAAGCUCUUUCAGCGGGGAAGAUAAUGACGGUACCCGCAGAAGAAGUCCCGGCUAACUUCGUG
rnacentral:rRNA from 1 species